UACGUAGGGCGCAAGCGUUGUCCGGAAUUAUUGGGCGUAAAGAGCUCGUAGGUGGCUUGUCACGUCGGAUGUGAAAGCCCGGGGCUUAACUCCGGGUCUGCAUUCGAUACGGGCUAGCUAGAGUGUGGUAGGGGAGAUCGGAAUUCCUGGUGUAGCGGUGAAAUGCGCAGAUAUCAGGAGGAACACCGGUGGCGAAGGCGGAUCUCUGGGCCAUUACUGACGCUGAGGAGCGAAAGCGUGGGGAGCGAACAGG
rnacentral:rRNA from 1 species